GACGAACGCUGGCGGCGUGCCUAACACAUGCAAGUCGAGCGAAUGAAGUUCCUUCGGGAACGGAUUUAGCGGCGGACGGGUGAGUAACACGUGGGCAACCUGCCUCAUAGAGGGGAAUAGCCUUCCGAAAGGGAGAUUAAUACCGCAUAAGAUUGUAGUACCGCAUGGUACAGCAAUUAAAGGAGCAAAUCCGCUAUGAGAUGGGCUCGCGUCCGAUUAGAUAGUUGGCGGGGUAACGGCCCACCAAGUCGACGAUCGGUAGCCGGACUGAGAGGUUGAUCGGCCACAUUGGGACUGAGACACGGCCCAGACUCCUACGGGAGGCAGCAGUAGGGAAUAUUGCACAAUGGAGGAAAACUCUGAUGCAGCCAUGCCGCGUGUGUGAAGAAGG
rnacentral:rRNA from 1 species